AUCUUCUUAGUAUAAAUAGUAUUACUGACUUCCAAUCAGUGAGACCUGGAUCAAUAGCGGGAGAAGAUA
rnacentral:tRNA from 1 species